GACAAUGGGGGCAACCCUGAUCUAGCCAUGCCGCGUGUGUGAUGAAGGCCCUAGGGUCGUAAAGCACUUUCGCCAGAGAUGAUAAUGACAGUAUCUGGUAAAGAAACCCCGGCUAACUCCGUGCCAGCAGCCGCGGUAAUACGGAGGGGGUUAGCGUUGUUCGGAAUUACUGGGCGUAAAGCGCACGUAGGCGGAUUAGUAAGUUAGAGGUGAAAUCCCAGGGCUCAACCCUGGAACUGCCUUUAAUACUGCUAGUCUUGAGUUCGAGAGAGGUAAGUGGAAUUCCGAGUGUAGAGGUGAAAUUCGUAGAUAUUCGGAGGAACACCAGUGGCGAAGGCGGCUUACUGGCUCGAUACUGACGCUGAGGUGCGAAAGUGUGGGGAGCAAACAGGAUUAGAUACCCUGGUAGUCCACACCGUAAACGAUGAAUGCCAGACGUCAGCAAGUAUACUUGUUGGUGUCACACCUAACGGAUUAAGCAUUCCGCCUGGGGAGUACGGUCGCAAGAUUA
rnacentral:rRNA from 1 species